rnacentral:rRNA from 1 species
GUAGGGUCCGAGCGUUGUCCGGAAUUAUUGGGCGUAAAGGGCUCGUAGGCGGUUUGUCGCGUCGGGAGUGAAAACACCGGGCUUAACUCGGUGCUUGCUUUCGAUACGGGCAGACUUGAGGUAUGCAGGGGAGAACGGAAUUCCUGGUGUAGCGGUGAAAUGCGCAGAUAUCAGGAGGAACACCGGUGGCGAAGGCGGUUCUCUGGGCAUUACCUGACGCUGAGGAGCGAAAGUGUGGGGAGCGAACAGGAUUAGAUACCCUGGUAGUCCACACCGUAAACGUUGGGCGCUAGGUGUGGGAUCCAUUCCACGGGUUCCGUGCCGUAGCUAACGCAUUAAGCGCCCCGCCUGGGGAGUACGGCCGCAAGGCUAAA